rnacentral:rRNA from 1 species
AACGAACGCUGGCGGCAGGCUUAACACAUGCAAGUCGAGCGCCCCGCAAGGGGAGCGGCAGACGGGUGAGUAACGCGUGGGAAUCUACCGUGCCCUACGGAAUAGCUCCGGGAAACUGGAAUUAAUACCGUAUACGCCCUUCGGGGGAAAGAUUUAUCGGGGUAUGAUGAGCCCGCGUUGGAUUAGCUAGUUGGUGGGGUAAAGGCCUACCAAGGCGACGAUCCAUAGCUGGUCUGAGAGGAUGAUCAGCCACAUUGGGACUGAGACACGGCCCAAACUCCUACGGGAGGCAGCAGUGGGGAAUAUUGGACAAUGGGCGCAAGCCUGAUCCAGCCAUGCCGCGUGAGUGAUGAAGGCCCUAGGGUUGUAAAGCCCUUUCACCGGUGAAGAUAAUGACGGUAACCGGAGAAGAAGCCCCGGCUAACUUCGUGCCAGCCGCCGCAGUAACAC